rnacentral:lncRNA from 15 species
AUGAUCACACAUUUUAUAUCCUUUCCUGUAAUAGAUGACAUUGAAGAAGGCUGUUCAGCUCCCAGUGCAGUGCUGCGACGAAAGAGGAAAGAAUGCCCACAUACAGUGUCAGGGAGCCAAGAUUUCUACCCUGUGAAGAGGGUUGCCAAAUGCAAAGUUGUAAAGGGACAAAAAUUGAAGCUGGUGGAGUGGGAGCCGUGCAAACUCUGGUAUGUAUGACUUCUGAUUUGUCAUAGUUUACAUGUUAUGUUGUUUUCUCCUAAUCUGUCUCCAGUCUUACUUGAUACCAACACUGAGAACAUUCACAUGAACACCAAUAAUCUAGUCAUGGCCAAAAUUGUCCCCACACUAAACAUUCAGUGCUGAAAUAGCCUACAUUAUAUAAAAUAUAUUAGUCUUCUAGGAGAAAUGUGAAAAAUAAAUAAAGCCACAUAGGUUUAGUCCAUGAUUAUCCACCCUGUGAAUAUAGUGUCAUUGAAUAUAAAGAGGCUGCAGUUGUCUCAGUCAGAAAUUCUAAAACAUCUAUCAUGCUUCUCUGCUAACAGCACCAUUGUACAGAAGUCAGAAAGAGGCUUAUUUAAAAAUGCUAAAAUUGUCCGUCACUGCAUCACUGCCUUACUGCCUUACUCUCACUUUAUUAGUGGAUGAUUGGUGUACAUGCUAACAUGAUUGUAUAUGAUACAUUUUUGUAUAUGAUAUUCAUUUAAAAGUUAAGUUUCCAGACAUUCCCACCAAAAAUAACACUGGUUCCUUACUUGAAUCGAGGGUCUAAGGACAGAGGGUGUCACAUACUGUACAUAUUGUAAAGCCCAACAAAACAAAUGCAAUUUGUGAUUUUGGCCAUAUGACAUAAAACACCAACACGGUGGCUUGGUGGUUAGCACUGUUG